rnacentral:rRNA from 1 species
UACGUAGGGCGCAAGCGUUAUCCGGAAUUAUUGGGCGUAAAGAGCUCGUAGGCGGUUUGUCGCGUCUGCCGUGAAAGUCCGGGGCUCAACUCCGGAUCUGCGGUGGGUACGGGCAGACUAGAGUGAUGUAGGGGAGACUGGAAUUCCUGGUGUAGCGGUGAAAAUGCGCAGAUAUCAGGAGGAACACCGAUGGCGAAGGCAGGUCUCUGGGCAUUAACUGACGCUGAGGAGCGAAAGCUGGGGAGCGAACAGG